UCGCUACAGGCACAGCUUCUUGGCAGCAGGAGCCGCUUUCUUUGCUGCAGGAGCAGCCUUCUUUGCAGCAGGAGCUGCUUUCUUUGAUGCAGCAGGCUUUGUUGAGGCUACCUUCUUGCUCCUUGUUGAUUUAGUGGGUGCAGGGCUGGGGGCUUUGCCGCAACGGCAGAUUUGGCACUUCGGGCAGGCUUGCUUGCUGGUGCAGCAGCUUUUUCUUGCUUCGUGGAUUUUGCUGCUGCUGCUUUUGAUUUCGGCGCAGCAGCUUUUGAUUUUGCGACAGACUUAGAAGCAGCUUUAGGCACGGCCUUUGUUUUGGCUGCAGCAAACUUUUGUCGCAGGAGCCUUGACCUGGUUUUUUUGCUGGUGCUUUAGUCGCUUUCACAGUUCCCUCAGAGGGGGCAGCCGUUUUGGCCCCUCUUGUAGUUCUUGUUACUUUAACAGGCGAUGCUACAACUUUUGCACUCUUGGCAGGACUGCUUUCAACUUUGGAUUCGCUUUUGCGCUUCACUGCUGCGGAGGCUUUUUUACUCUCGUCGGCUUUGGUGAGAAUUUAAUAGGUGAUUCGGCAACUUCAGCCACUUUGCUGACUUUGCUUGCCGUCUUGACAGGGCUUUCUGAUUUGCGCUUGACGGGGAGACUUUUUCGGAGUAGUUACUUUUGUAGCACUUUUGGGCGAUUUGAGAGGAGUGGUGUCAAGCAUGACCUGAGCGACGACUUUAGCUGUGCGACUGGCUCUUACGCUGCUGUCUACUGGAGUUUCAGCUGCAGUAGCUGGCUUUUUAACAGAUUUGGCAGUGCUCUUGGGUGUUUUAGGAGCAGGAGUUUUCUUUACAGCACUUUUCGGUGAUUUUGCUGCAGGUGCUUUUUUGGCGGAUUUUACAGGGGUUGGUGCCGGUGCUUUCUUGGCGGAUUUUACAGGGGUUGGUACCGGAGCUUUCUUGGCAGAUUUGACAGGGGUUGGUACUGGAGUUACAGGAGCACUAGGAGUUUUGGCGACAGGUUUAGCAACACUUUUGGGAGUUUUGGCAGAUUUGGCAGGAGUUUUGGCAGGAGUUUUGGCAGGUGUUUUUGCUGUGGCUUUAGGGGUAGCCACACUCUUUGGGGUCACAGGAACAGCUGCUGGAGCAGGAGUCUUGGCUGGUGUUUUCUUGACAGCCUUAGCUACACUCUUGGGAGUUUUUUUUGCUGAUUUUUUAGCAGAGACUGGUGAUUUGAUUGGCGAACUGACAGGUGUUUUGGCCGGGGUUUUCCCAGUUGACUUUGCUACACUGAUUGGAGUCUUGGGCAAAACUUUAGGUGCAGGGGUGGAAACUGAGACAGGAGUCUUUGCAGGUGUUUUCUUUACACUCUUGGGCGUUUUUUUGGCCGAUUUUUUAGCAGACACGGGUGAUUUUUUCGGGGAUUUGAGAGGAGUGGUCUUCACUACCACAGCGGGAGAAGCAAGACUGGGAAAAGCUAGACUCUUCUUCGUUUGGAAGCAGGGGUUGCUGAUUUCGAAGCAGAUGCAACUUUCUUCGCGGAUUUUUUUGAAAGGGGAGUCUUCUUGGUGACCAAGACUUUAGGCGUUUUCUUGGACGAUGAAACAGAAGUUUCUGCUGAGCUCUGGCUUGUUGACAGUGGGGAAACAAAGAUAUCUUUGGGAACGUUAGGUGUCUUUACUGAGUUGAAAUCAAACGAAUCUGGAGUAGCGUUGAAUGAAAACGCGGGUGCCUGACUUUCUCGCAGAUUUAGGAGCAGGCGAAGGCAUUUUGGUCUUGGUCACAAGAGGUGUGGACGAAACUUGUUUACUGCUACUGUUCCUUGAGCGAUCAAACAGCCUAUCAAGCAACAUUGGGCUGAUCGGACUCAGGGGGGAUUUCGCGUAAACGGGUCUCACUCCUGGCGACCACAGUGCUGCGAUUGUUUUUGUGCCUUCUUCACUGUAUUUCUGAGUUUUCGAGCUGGUAGGAGAUGGGCUUUUCUUGUUAAGAAGCUUUAAUUUUUUUGCUGAAAUUGCUCCUUUCCUCAAAGAAACUGGUGUUUUUGUGGGUGAUGCCUUUGCUGGUGUUGUAGAUGCUCUAGCUUUCAGCGCUGGAGAGGCUUAAGGGCUGCUGCAGGAGUAGCUGCCUGGGAUUUUUCAGGAGUUGCCUUUGAAACCGCUACUUUCGGAGUAGCUUUAGCAGCUGCUCUAGGUGCAGCUUUUGGAGUUGCUUUAGGUGUGGCUUUGGAGUUGCUUUAGGGGUGGCUUUAGGGGUGGCUUUGGGAGUUGCUUUUGGGGUGGCUUUAGGAGUAGCUUUGGGAGUCACUUUUGGAGUGGCUUUAGCAACUGCUAUGGGUGUAGCUUUUGGAGUUGCUUUAGGGGUGGCUUUGGGAGUUGCUUUUGGAGUAGCUUUUGGAGUAGCCUUAGGGGUUGCUUUCGGAGUGACCUUAGCAGCUGAUUUUGGAGUAGCUUUUGCAGUGGCUCUAGGAGUAGCCUUUGGGGUUGCUUUUAGAGUGGCUUUAGCAGCUGAUUUUGGAGUAGCUUUGGGGGUUGCCUUUGGCGUGGUUUUAGGAGUAGCCUUCAGGGUGGCCUUGGGAGUCGUUUUAGGGGUGGUUGCUGAGACAACUUUAGUAGUUCCUUUCUUGAAUGGAGUUUUGAACAGCUGAUCAACUCCUUCAAGAGAAUUUUCACCUGCUGGGGUGCCGCUUUUGCGGGUCACAUUCACCUUUGGCGACGCUGCAAGACUUGACUUGGGCAGAGGCUUUCCGGCUCCCUGUAAAAAAAAGGAAAAGGACGAUUAGUCUCACACUUAGAAAUGUACUCAGAAGCAGGAUUAGAGUGUUUUAAUGCAGUUUCUACUUCACAAUAAGUUUAAAAAGGUUUUGGCGACAUACUUGAGACAGUAAAACAAGAACAACUUGUCUGUAAAGGUCUGUAAAAGAAUGCACCUCAAUAAAAAUUAUCAGCGCCA
rnacentral:lncRNA from 1 species